rnacentral:rRNA from 1 species
AGUGAACGCUGGCGGUAGGCCUAACACAUGCAAGUCGAACGGCAGCACAGUAAGAGCUUGCUCUUACGGGUGGCGAGUGGCGGACGGGUGAGGAAUACAUCGGAAUCUACUUUUUCGUGGGGGAUAACGUAGGGAAACUUACGCUAAUACCGCAUACGACCUACGGGUGAAAGCAGGGGAUCUUCGGACCUUGCGCGAUUGAAUGAGCCGAUGUCGGAUUAGCUAGUUGGCGGGGUAAAGGCCCACCAAGGCGACGAUCCGUAGCUGGUCUGAGAGGAUGAACGGCCAACCUGGAAAUGAAACACGGUCCAGACCCCUACGGGGGGCAGCAGGGGGGAAUUUUGGACAAUGGGCGGAAGCCUGACCCAGCCAUACCGGGGGGGGGAAGAAGGCCUUCGGGUUGUAAAGCCCUUUUGUUGGGAAAAAAAAGCAGCAGGUUAAACCCCCGCUGUUCUGACGGUACCCAAAAAAUAAGCACCGGCUAACUUCGU